rnacentral:tRNA from 1 species
UCCAUGGUAGUCCAGUGGUUAAGACUCUGCACUCCUAUUGCAGGGCCCAAGGUUCAUUCCCUGGUCAGGGAG